AUUAGGUUAUGGGGCUAGGGAAGGGUUUAAGGUUUUUGGCGUUAGGGUUAAAAUCACUGUCCAAAACCUUUUUAGGAACAUGUUUCAGACCUUUUGGAGUUGGUUACACCAAAAAAAAUGUAAAAUGAAAAAGAAUUUUUUUGGGUGUUCGGGCUUCCUGAAGGUAAUACUAGGUUUCUGGGCUAGGGUAAUGUUUUAGGUUUUUGGCGUUAGGGUUAAAAUCAAUGUCCAAAACCUUUGUAGGAUUUCUUUUCCAACCUUUGAGAGCAAGUUAGACCAAAACAAAAAGAAAAAUAAAAAAUGUAUAUUUGGGGUGUUCGGGCUUCCUGAAGGUAAUACCCGUGUAUUAGGUUAUGGGAUAAGGGUAAGGUUUAAGGUUUUUCGGCGUGAGGGUAAAAAUCACUGUCCAAAACCUUUGUAGGAACUCUUUUCCAACCUUUGGGAAUAAGUUAGACAAAAAAAAUAAGAUAAAUGAAAAAAAAAUAUUUGGGGUGUUCGGGCUUCCUGAAGGUAAUACCUGGGUAUUAGGUUUUGGGGCUAGGGUUAGGUUUAAGGUUUUUGGCGUUAGGGUUAAAAUAACUGUCCAAUAUAUUUAAAGGAACAUGUUUCAGACCUUUGGGAAAUAGUUAGACAAAAAAAAAAGAAAAAGAAAAAAAAUAUAUUUGGGGUGUUCGGGUUUCCUGAAGGUAAUACCCGGGUAUUAGGUUAUGGGGCUAGGGUAAGGUUUAAGGUUUUUGGCGUUAGGGUUAAAAUCACUGUCCAAAACCUUUGUAGGAAUGUUUUCCGACCUUUUGGAGUUAGUUAGACCAAAAAAAAAAAAGAAUAAUAAAAAAUAUAUAUUUGGGGUGUUCGGGCUUCCUGAAGAAAAUACCCAGGUAAUAGGUUAUGGGGCUAGGGUAAGGUUUAAGGUUUUUGGCGUUAGGGUUAAAAUCACUGUCCAAAACCU